UCUAGAAUGGCGGAUAAACGCAUAAAAUUUAAGAUUUUAGCAUGGUCUAUUAUAGAUCUUCUAGAA
rnacentral:tRNA from 2 species